rnacentral:lncRNA from 1 species
GUCUGAAUGAUCUUAAAAUGAAUCACUGCUUAUAUCUUUAAACCACCAUAUAUUUCCUUUUGGUGAUCCCAGUGGGAAUGUAUGCACACACACACACACACACACACACACACACACACACACACACACACACACACACACACACACACAGAGACUUGAGGUCACAUACCGACAAAGUCAUUAACCACAUCCUUGACCAGGUGUCCAACUAUCGCGUACGCCACCGCCACCACCACCAGCGCCGCCAUCACCAGGUACAGAACCGCUUUGGGCAGCGGGAUGGAGUCUCGUGCCGGGGUCCGGUAGUCCGUGUACAGCAGGUCGCUCUCCGAGUACGAGUACUGGAAGACGUGCUCCAUGCCCGAGGUAUGGUUGGAGUUGAGAGGCGGGUUACUCGCGCUCAUGGCGCUGUCCGGCUGCAGAGCCGUCACCAUGGUGGUCGUCACGUCCUCCGCUUUGUUCAUGUUCACCAAGCCGCUAGUUUUAUUCAUCAGAGGCAAAAUCUGAGAGAGGAAGUAGCUCCAGUCCUUAAUGGCACUCGUGUUGCAUAAAAACAUUGUUCCGACCAUGUAAUCACCACAGAAAGGGCUUCGGGAUCACAAAGGCGCAAAAAAACAAAAAAACAAACCGAACAAAAAAUCCGCUGAAGACGCGCCGGACUCUCCAAAACUUAUCGCCCCUAAAAGUGACAGAUUGAGGUUUUUAUAAUCCAACAGGUUCACUCAGAUGCCCAAAGUCUCCGCCUGACAGGAGCCAACAGCGCGUCUGAAAACUUACCCAGCUCUCACUGACGAAACGCACAACGCGUCACUCAUUGACGAGCUUUUACGCACGAAUGAAGAAGGACUUUUACGCGUCGAUUAUUUUUGGUGUACGUCCAAAAGUGAAAUCAAAACGACACAGCUGCAGAGUACAACAGCCUAAACCGUCCUGGUAGAUGUGUCCUCCCGACAUUACAGGCGCGUAAAUGUUGGAUGAAGGAACCAAGAAUCGGUGACUGUGCCGUGGUGAUGAUGAUGAUGAUGACGAGGAGGAGGAUGGUGAUGAUGAUUAGAGACGGAAAACACGAUCCGGACGGUCCUGUGAGCCUGCAGGAGCCUCGACGUCUCCCCCGCUGCUCUCACAGCCGUCCGGAGCUGAGAUGUGGCAAUGAGGGAGAGCGGAGCACUUGUUCGCCCUCCCGUCGACUUCACAUGGACCGAUGUUCUUCAGACUCUGCAGCCGGAGGGAAUCCUGAUCACAUCACCUGCAUCAUGGCUCAGAAAAACACAUCUGGAGCGAAUCCCAUCCCCAGACUGGUUGUCAAGAUCGUAGGCAGCAAACAGGUCAAGCAGUUUAUCGAGGAGCCCCGAGAAGAAUCUGGAGACGUGUCAAAGAAAGAAGAGAGUCGUCCAGUUGAAGCUGCAUAUGAUGGUGAUUUCAAGAAACCUCCAGAAAAACAGGAUGUGAUGGUGUCCAGCUCUGACAGGAAGGUGGAGAACAGAGUGGACUCUGCACUUUGGGCUGUCAUACAGCAGGUUCCUGACAGACGGUGUGUGACAGCGCCCUCUGGUGAUCGCUCCAGGUCCUACAUCCACCCAAAGACUCGUCACAGCUGUGAACCGAGAGCAGCUGCAGUUCUGGAGAUAUCAGAGGAGGUUCUUCUGUGA